GAGAAGAGGAAAGAAUGUGAGUGCUGGGCACUUCACAGGACACACAAGUAUCGGCUGAAUGCACGUGUGAGCAAACUGGCAUGCUAAAAAUCGCGUCAAUGCUUAAAAAGCAUCUUUCACUGCUGCUGCUUAGAGAUGGGAAUCAGGAGAACACGUCACUUGGAAUAGCUAAGUGAUGUGUAGCCACCACAGCUUCUCCGUUUGCCAGGUUCCAGUGGAGGGCUUCCUGUCGCUCUGCAGCCCUCUGGCUGACACUAUCUCGAUACACCCUAACGAUUCCAUUACAAGCUUUCACCUGAGCUUUGUUUCUUGCAGCGUCUAUCAUUUUUGGUGUGAUCGGAGGGAGGCAGGAUCUCCUGACCCAAUUCGAAGCGUGCAGUCCACAGCAGGUCUGAAAAUGAGACGGCUACCAUCAACGACUUCGAAGUGCUGACAUACUACAAUCCAGCUUUGCAGCUUGAACUCGAACCACCCAGGAGCCAUCACUGACCAUGUGACAGAUCUUUCCAAAAGCAUCAUCAACUAAG